UUAGUCUAGGCUUGAGACCUCAAGUCAGAUAAGCUGGUAUCGAUUGUGUUACUCGACAAGGAAUGCCAGAAGUCUCACUAAGUAGCAGGCAUGACAAUAAAUGGCUUCUUCUAAAUUUUUGUCAUAAUCGUGAUGAACCUCAAUGAAAAUUCCAGACGCUCGAGGAAUCAUUUACCAACAACAGAACACUCGUGGACACACUUAAAUAUAUUAUAUAUAAAGCGAGUGGACUUUGAAACGCUACUUACAAAAGUAAAUUAGAUUAAAAAGUUAUUGAGAAAAUGAAUCUCUACAUUAUAGGAACGAUUUGCCUGUUCAUCAUCGAUACAUCGUUGGCUGGGGGAGG